GAUGAACGCUGGCGGCGUGCCUAAUACAUGCAAGUCGAGCGGUAAGGCCACUUCGGUGGUACACGAGCGGCGGACGGCUGAGUAACACGUAGGAACGUACCCCAAACUGAGGGAUAAGCACCAGAAAUGGUGUCUAAUACCGCAUGUGCUCUCCGGAGUAAAGCUACGGCGGUUUGGGAACGGCCUGCGCAUGAUUAGCUUGUUGGUGAGGUAAAAGCUCACCAAGGCGACGAUCAUUAGCUGGUCUGAGAGGAUGAUCAGCCAGACUGGGACUGAG
rnacentral:rRNA from 1 species